rnacentral:rRNA from 1 species
ACGUACACUCCUACGGGAGGCAGCAGUGGGGAAUCUUGCGCAAUGGGCGAAAGCCUGACGCAGCCAUGCCGCGUGAAUGAUGAAGGUCUUAGGAUUGUAAAAUUCUUUCACCGGGGACGAUAAUGACGGUACCCGGAGAAGAAGCCCCGGCUAACUUCGUGCCAGCAGCCGCGGUAAUACGAAGGGGGCUAGCGUUGCUCGGAAUUACUGGGCGUAAAGGGAGCGUAGGCGGACAUUUAAGUCAGGGGUGAAAUCCCGGGGCUCAACCUCGGAAUUGCCUUUGAUACUGGGUGUCUUGAGUAUGAGAGAGGUGUGUGGAACUCCGAGUGUAGAGGUGAAAUUCGUAGAUAUUCGGAAGAACACCAGUGGCGAAGGCGACACACUGGCUCAUUACUGACGCUGAGGCUCGAAAGCGUGGGGAGCAAACAGGAUUAGAAACCCCGGUAGUCCCAUGAU